rnacentral:rRNA from 1 species
UGGGGAAUAUUGGGCAAUGGGCGAAAGCCUGACCCAGCAACGCCGCGUGAGGGAAGAAGGUUUUCGGAUCGUAAACCUCUGUCCUUGGUGAAGAGUAAGAGACGGUAGCCAAGGAGGAAGCCCCGGCUAACUACGUGCCAGCAGCCGCGGUAAUACGUAGGGGGCGAGCGUUGUCCGGAAUGAUUGGGCGUAAAGGGCGCGUAGGCGGCCUGUUAAGUCUGGAGUGAAAUUCCUGCUUUCAAGGUAGGAAGUGCUUUGGAAACUGGCGGGCUGGAGUGCAGGAGAGGUUAGCGGAAUUCCCGGUGUAGCGGUGAAAUGCGUAGAGAUCGGGAGGAACACCAGUGGCGAAGGCGGCUAACUGGACUGUAACUGACGCUGAGGCGCGAAAGUGUGGGGAGCAAACA